rnacentral:SRP_RNA from 1 species
GCUGGGCAUGGUGGUGCAUGCCUGUAAUCCCAGCUACUAUGGAGGCUGAGGCAGGAGAAUUGCUUGAACCCGGGAGGUGGAGAGGUUGCAGUGGGCUGAGAUUGUGCCACUGCACUCCAGCCUGGGCAACAGAGCAAGACUCCGUCUCAA